rnacentral:rRNA from 1 species
GAUGAACGCUGGCGGCGUGCCUAAUACAUGCAAGUCGAGCGAACGGACGAGAAGCUUGCUUCUCUGAUGUUAGCGGCGGACGGGUGAGUAACACGUGGAUAACCUACCUAUAAGACUGGGAUAACUUCGGGAAACCGGAGCUAAUACCGGAUGAUAUUUUGAACCGCAUGGUUCAAAAGUGAAAGACGGUCUUGCUGUCACUUAUAGAUGGAUCCGCGCUGCAUUAGCUAGUUGGUAAGGUAACGGCUUACCAAGGCGACGAUGCAUAGCCGACCUGAGAGGGUGAUCGGCCACACUGGAACUGAGACACGGUCCAGACUCCUACGGGAGGCAGCAGUAGGGAAUCUUCCGCAAAGGGCGAAAGCCUGACGGAGCAACGCCGCGUGAGUGAUGAAGGUCUUCGGAUCGUAAAACUCUGUUAUUAGGGAAGAACAUAUGUGUAAGUAACUGUGCACAUCUUGACGGUACCUAAUCAGAAAGCCACGGCUAACUACGUG